rnacentral:lncRNA from 1 species
AGUCAUCUUCCCCCAGACUUUCAAAUCUAACAGCCCUGAGUGAGAACCACGGGUCCUAGAUUGUUAUCCCCAUUGCAGAGGGUAAAGCAGAGGCUCAGGAAGUGAAAAGGCCACCAGAGAAUUAAGUAUGGAGAAAGGCUAUCCUGGGACUCCCUUGCCCCAAGAUCAAUAAGUGAAAAGCACAAGCCUUACUUCCCAUCAUUCCACUACAUGCCCAGUCCUGUGCUGAACUGGAGUUGGGAUGUCAGGAACAGUGCAGUGUCUGAGAUUUUUACCCAAUUUACAAGCUAACAAGUUAGCCUGCUAUUGUUCCAUGGAUGCCAGCCAAAGAUACAAGAUUCCUGGGUCAGAGACAAAGGACUUCAUCACUCACAGCAAAAGCACUAGCCAGAGCUGCAUAGGAUUGCUUCGGUUCUCCGACAUCACCCAAGUCCCACAAAGACAAUGCAAAGGGCCCAUGAUGGUGAGUCACCCAAUGGAUCGCAUUACAGGAGAGUAACACUGAGCUUGGAACAUUUGCCACUUCUCUAGCGAGUGGAAAGAAACCUGGUCUUUUCCUGGUGGGAGGUGUUACUGCAUCUCUCAUGGCUGCUCAUGGCAAAUACAGCCCUGCGAAACAGCCCGGGUAAAGAGUGACUAGAGCCUUGCAUUCUCGGCACACCGAGCAAGAAUGUUCAGGGAUGGGUCCAUGGCAAAUUUUCUCAUGGACCAUGGCAAAUUGUCUCUCACAACAGGGGAAAUUGUCUCUCUCAACUAGGAGAAGAGAAGGGCCUUGUACCUGCCCUCAGGAUGCUCCAGAUGACCAUACCUAUAAGAGCUGCCUUGUACAUGCACAGUGGAUGCCUCGUUGCAGUUCCAUAUUUUCACUAUAGAAGUAACAUCAGGAAGAAGGGCUGGGUUCCUGAAUAUCACACAGUAAAAAGUGCCCAGACAGUGGGGUGUCCCAGUGAACUGAAAGUACCCAUCCCUAAGACAGUGGAUGGUGCCGUUUGAACAGCGUCACUCUUGCGUGGUCAGCUCGGGCUGAUGUGACCAAUUCCACAGACGACCGGGAUAACCGAUUCCACAGACCGGGAUAACCAAUUCCACAGAUCGGGGGGCUUAAACCACAGAAAGGCAUUUCCUUAUGAUUCUGGAACCUGGAAGUUCACAAUCAAGUGAGGAGCAAGAAAUGAAAGCCAGCAUCUGCGUGUCACCUGCAGAGCGCCCUGCAGCUGGUCCUCUCAUUUGCCCUCCAAGUCAGCUCACAGGCUCAGCCUUAACACGAGGAAAGAGCUCCAAGGAGUUAAGAGACAUACACUGACUGUUCUCUCCUUCUGGAACUUUCUCCCUUCCCAUGGGCGCCCACAGCCCCCGGGCUUCCCUGUCAUAACUCUCGUCAUUGCCACCUGCUCCUCGUGGGCCUCCCCCAAGGCUGUGAGCUCCAGAGAGCAGGGUGGUGUCUCUCUUUCUCGCAUCUCUAUUUACAGCAUCCAGCAUAGAGCCUGGCCUCAGAAACCCUCCAAGUGCUUGUUUGUAGCAGACCAUUGUGUGGCUAUGCCCUGAAUCAGAGCUGGAAUUCACCCAAAGGAAAACAGAAAAGAUUCUUUUAGGCACUGCUGAACAAACGGAACAAAAAAUCCACCCUUAUGCAGCUUACAUUCUAAUGGAGAAACAGAAAUGAUACAACAAAGUAAAUAAACAAGUUAUGUGGCAUUUUAGUAGUAAGCACCAUGGAGAAAAAAAUAAAGUGAAGAAAUAGCAAAAGCCACUGCAGAGGCUGCAGGUGGGACUAAGAGUGAAGAGGUGAGUGAGUCAUAUGGGUGUCUGAGGGAACCUGCUCCAGGCAGAGGGAGUGACAAGUGCAAACGCCCUGGGGCAGGAACUGCAAGGAAGUCAGCAAGGCUGGAGUUGCGUGAGCAAUGAAAGAAAGAAAAGAAAGAAGAUUCGUCCAGAGAGGCAAGACUCGGAGGUCUUUGUAGUCCUGCGUAGGCCAUUGUAAAGCCUUUGGUGUUUUACUUUGAGUGAAAUGGGGAGGACUUCACAAAUAAUAGGAUUUAUUUUCAGUCAUAGUGGGAUUUUAUUUGAGGGGGCGGGUUGAAUAGUUGAAUAGCCACCAUAUCUUCCUGUGCCCCCAAACCUGGCUUGAACCCAAGUGCAACUAACGACAAACGUAGUGCCCACUCCGGAACCCAUGCCUCCAAGAAGGGAGAGGCAAGAGAGGAAGAGGCCCUCCACUUUGAAGCCUGAGCCCCGGGCCACGGUGGAGAGAGCUCUGAGCAGCUCUAUGAGGGAGUGUGCGGCCCUCUUGGUGACUUAGCCUCCACAGUGCCAGGAAUGUGGUGUCUGCCACCAGACCGCUAUUGUGAAUUGAAUGGGGAAAAGGUAAAGGGAGAAAUGCAACCCCCAGGGCUGGGGCUGUGCAGCCUGCAGGUUGCGCAAUAGACUCUGCUGGCCUCAGGCCUGGCUCUCCACAAUCUGGUCCCCUCCCCACGCCCUCAGCAAGCCUCUGGGUCACAGGACUAAAAAGCUGCUUCCAAUUAGAUUCACUGAACCCCUUGGGCCCUAGAGGGAGGAACUCGACAGGAGCCAUUGCUCUGGGUGUAGGGAGGAAGAGGAGGAGGUGAUCAGGGAGGUGAGGUGGGAGGAUCAGGCAAGCACCUAAUCACUGCUUGCCUGGGUGCUCACCGCUCCCAAGCAGUGCUGCAGGCUGGUGUGAAGAGAGUGACCCGGGAAGCUCCAAGACCCAGAUUUAAACUCAGUUAUGACGUUUCCAUGAGUGUCAUGACUGAGCAAGAAGGUGAAGAGCCCGCGCCUGUUUCCUCAUCUGCGGAACGGAGCGAACACGCCACCUACUUCAUGAGACUUAACAGACGAUGGAAGUGGAGCAUUCAGCACAGAGCCUGGCACAUGCUUUCUCUCUCCACAGCCUCCAACCGGUGAGCCAGGUUCUCCUUGAGAUUGGCAGGGGUGGGAGCAGCAUGGGUAUGUGCCCACCUGCCGCUGCCCUCAGCCAGGGCCCCUCGACAGACAUUCUCCACGGUUCAUUCAUCAUUUGCUUGCUGGCCAGGUUGAGCGGUGAAGGGGAGGAGCUUCGUUCUCUAGAUCACAGGAGCUUUCUCUGGGCUGCCGGAGUGCCCAGGCUAGGUGCUGCAAACUCCUGCAGCGAUUGCCAGUGAGAACUGAAGAUGACUGGGCUUCUGUGACGGCUGGGGACUUGGAAAACUUUUGUGUCUAGCUAAAGGAUUAUAAACGCACCAAUCAGCACUCUCUGUCUAGCUAAAGGUUUGUAAAUGCACCAAUCAGCACUCUGUGUUUAGCUAAGGGAGUGGGGACUUGGAGAACGUUUGUGUCUAGCUGAAGGAUUGUAACGCACCAAUCAGCACUCUGUGUCUAGCUAAAGGUUUGUAAACGCACCAAUCAGCUCUCUGUCAAAAUGGACCAAUCAGCUCUCUGUAAAAUGUACCAAUCAGCUCUCUGUAAAAUGGGCCAAUCAGCUCUCUAUAAAAUGGACCAAUCAGCAGGAUGUGGGUGGGGCCAGAUAAGGGAAUAAAAGAGGGCCACCUGAGUCAGCAGUGGCAACCUGGUCGGUUCUAUUUCCCUGUUUUGGGAUGUCUGUGUUUUUCCUGUUUGCAAUAAAUCUUGUUGCUGUUCUCUGUUUGGGUCCCUGCCAUUUUUUAUGAACUGUAACACUCACCGGGAUGGUCUGCAGCUUCAAUCCUGAAGCCAGUGAGGCUAUGAACUCCCCAGGAGGAGUGGGUAACUCCAGACACACCGCCUUUAAGAGCCGUGACGCUCACUGCAAAGGUCUUGCCCCUUCACCCCU